UACGUAGGUGGCGAGCGUUGUCCGGAAUUACUGGGUGUAAAGGGCGCGUAGGCGGGGAUGUAAGUCAGAUGUGAAAUACCAUGGCUUAACUGUGGACGUGCAUCUGAAACUAUGUUUCUUGAGUAUCGGAGAGGAAAGCGGAAUUCCCAGUGUAGCGGUGAAAUGCGUAGAGAUUGGGAAGAACACCAGUGGCGAAGGCGGCUUUCUGGACGGUAACUGACGCUGAGGCGCGAAAGCGUGGUGAGCAAACAGGAUUAGAUACCCUGGUAGUCCACGCCGUAAACGGUGGAUACUAGGUGUAGGAGGUAUCGACCCCUUCUGUGCCGGAGUUAACACAAUAAGUAUCCCACCUGGGGAGUACGGCCGCAAGGUUGAA
rnacentral:rRNA from 1 species